CAGUAAGUAGUUUAUUAAAAAUUUAGGUUUUGGGGAUUUAAGAUGCUUGUUAGUUUUACUGA
rnacentral:tRNA from 1 species